ACUCCUACGGGAGGCAGCAGUUAGGAAUAUUCGGCAAUGGGGGAAACCCUGACCGAGCGACACUGCGUGAAGGAGGAAGGCCUUAGGGUUGUAAACUUCUGAACGAGAGACGAUAAUGACGGUAUCUCGGUAAUAGCACCGGCUAACUCCGUGCCAGCAGCCGCGGUAAUACGGAGGGUGCGAGCGUUAUCCGGAAUCACUGGGCGUAAAGGGCGCGUAGGCGGUUACAUAAGUCCGAUGUUAAAGCGUAGGGCUCAACCCUAUAAGGCGUUGGAUACUGUGAAACUAGACUUCUGGAGAGGUAAGUGGAAUUACCAGAGUAGCGGUGAAAUGCGUAGAUACUGGUAGGAACACCCAUAGCGAAGGCAGCUUACUGGACAGAGAGUGACGCUGAGGCGCGAAGUGUGGGGAGCAAACCGGAUUAGAUACCCUGGUAGGUC
rnacentral:rRNA from 1 species